GUAAGGAAUAUUGGACAAUGGACGCAAGUCUGAUCCAGCCAUGCCGCGUGAAGGAUUAAGGUCCUCUGGAUUGUAAACUUCUUUUAUAAGGGACGAAAAAAGGCUUUUCUAAGUCGUCUGAUGGUACCUUAUGAAUAAGCACCGGCUAACUCCGUGCCAGCAGCCGCGGUAAUACGGAGGGUGCAAGCGUUAUCCGGAUUCACUGGGUUUAAAGGGUGCGUAGGCGGGCAGGUAAGUCAGUGGUGAAAUCCUAGAGCUUAACUCUAGAACUGCCAUUGAUACUAUCUGUCUUGAAUAUUGUGGAGGUAAGCGGAAUAUGUCAUGUAGCGGUGAAAUGCUUAGAUAUGACAUAGAACACCUAUUGCGAAGGCAGCUUACUACGCAUAUAUUGACGCUGAGGCACGAAAGCGUGGGGAUCAAACAGGAUUAGAAACCCCAGUAGUCC
rnacentral:rRNA from 1 species